rnacentral:sRNA from 5 species
UGUAUCUGAAGUCUGACGAGGAUGAGAACCUCCGGGGGCAAGAGGUUCGACUCGAGCGAAGCGAGAGAACGUUGCGUCAGCAACGGCCCGCAGGGCGAGCCACCCUCUAUCACCGGCAG